UACGUAGGGUGCGAGCGUAAUCGGAAUUACUGGGCGUAAAGCGUGCGCAGGCGGUCUGUUAAGACCGAUGUGAAAUCCCCGGGCUUAACCUGGGAACUGCAUUGGUGACUGGCAGGCUUUGAGUGUGGCAGAGGGAGGUAGAAUUCCACGUGUAGCAGUGAAAUGCGUAGAGAUGUGGAGGAAUACCGAUGGCGAAGGCAAUCCCCUGGGCCUGCACUGACGCUCAUGCACGAAAGCGUGGGGAGCAAACAGG
rnacentral:rRNA from 1 species